rnacentral:tRNA from 1 species
AAGAAAUUAGUUAAACUCCUUAUAACAUUUGCUUGUCAUGCAUAAAUUGUCUUUAAGACAUUUCUUA